rnacentral:ncRNA from 2 species
GUAGCCUUGCCGGUUCGAGGUUCUCCGACACGGGUCGGAGCUAAGACGGGAACGCGGUGCCGAUGCCGCGGCUGCCCCCGCAACUGUAGGCGUUGAGCCCACCGACCAUUGCCACUGCCGGUUAUAUAAGGCGGGAAGGCGUCGAUGGCGUCCCGAGGACACAAUGCAAGCCAGGAGACCUGCCUCGACCAGAUUCCACAU